AACGUAGGAGGCAAGCGUUAUCCGGAUUUACUGGGCGUAAAGCGCGUGCAGGUGGCAGAGCGAGUUGGAUGUGAAAGCUCCCGGCUCAACUGGGAGAGGUCGUUCAAUACUGCUCAGCUAGAGGAUGGUAGAGGGAGGUGGAAUUCCGGGUGUAGUGGUGAAAUGCGUAGAUAUCCGGAGGAACACCAGUGGCGAAAGCGGCCUCCUGGACCAUGCCUGACACUCAGACGCGAAAGCUAGGGUAGCAAACGGG
rnacentral:rRNA from 1 species